rnacentral:rRNA from 1 species
AGGUGUGGAUAGCGGAGAAAUUCCAAUCGAACCCGGAGAUAGCUGGUUCUCCUCGAAAUAGCUUUAGGGCUAGCCUCGUUUUAGUCUGGUGGAGGUAGAGCACUGAAUUCCCAAGGGGGCGUCAAAGCUUACUAAGGGAUAUCAAACUCCGAAUGCCAUACAGAUGAUGAACGGGAGUCAGACUAUACGAGAUAAGUUGGAUAGUCAAAAGGGAAAGAGCCCAGACCUGCAGCUAAGGUCCCAAAGUGCAUGUUAAGUGGAAAAGGAUGUGGGAUCUCUAAGACAACUAGGAUGUUGGCUCAGAAGCAGCCAUUCAUUCAAAGAGUGCGUAACAGCUCACUAGUCGAGAGGUCCUGCGCCGAAAAUGUCCGGGGCUAAAACAUGCCACCGAAGCUCAGGAAUGACAUAGUCAUUGGUAGAGGAGCAUUCUUAACGCGAAGAAGCAGUACCGUAAGGAGCUGUGGAGUGCUAAGAAGAGAGAAUGCCGGAAUGAGUAGCGAGAACAAGGUGAGAAUCCUUGUGGCCGAAUAUCCAAGGUCUCCAGGGUAAAGCUGAUCUGCCCUGGGAAAGUCGGGACCUAAGGUCAGGCUGAAAAGCGUAGCCGAUGGACAACAGGUUGAUAUUCCUGUACCGCAUGGUAACAGAACUGUGGGGACACGGGAGGGAAACAUGGGCCGGAAAUGGAAAGUCCGGUACAAACGGGGUAGUCGCACAGCAGGCAAAUCCGCUGUGCAUGAGACGAAGCCGUGAUGUGGAGCGAACUAAAGUAGUGAAGCAUGUGCCCCCUCCUGUCGAGAAAAGCCGCUAUUGUUUGCCAUGCGCCCGUACCGUAAACCGACACAGGUGGAUGAGGAGAGAAUCCUAAGGCCGGCGGGAGAAGCAUUGUCAAGGAACUCGGCAAAAUGACCCCGUAACUUCGGGAGAAGGGGUGCCCACGCAAGUGGGCCGCAGAGAAUAGGCUCAAGCAACUGUUUAGCAAAAACACAGGUCUAUGCGAAACCGUAAGGUGAUGUAUAUGGGCUGACGCCUGCCCGGUGCUGGAAGGUUAAGAGGAGAGGUUAGAGCAAUCGAAGCUUUGAAUUGAAGCCCCAGUAAACGGCGGCCGUAACUAUAACGGUCCUAAGGUAGCGAAAUUCCUUGUCGGGUAAGUU